rnacentral:rRNA from 1 species
UACGAAGGGGGCGAGCGUUGUUCGGAAUCACUGGGCGUAAAGGGCGCGUAGGCGGCCCUCUUAGUCGCGUGUGAAAGCCCCGGGCUCAACCUGGGAACGGCGCGCGAAACGGGAGGGCUGGAGUUCGGGAGAGGAGAGUGGAAUUCCCAGUGUAGAGGUGAAAUUCGUGAGAUAUUGGGAAGAACACCGGUGGCGAAGGCGGCUCUCUGGACCGAGACUGACGCUGAGGCGCGAAAGCCAGGGGAGCAAACGGG